UGGUGAUAGGUUUUUUGAGUU
rnacentral:piRNA from 1 species